UUGUUCGCAAUGGGCGCAAGCCUGACGACGCAACGCCGCGUGGAGGAUGAAGAAUUUCGGUUCGUAAACUCCUGUCGAGCGGGACGAAAGAUCCGCCGGUUAAUACCCGGUGGAAGUGACGGUACCGCUAAAGGAAGCCCCGGCUAACUCCGUGCCAGCAGCCGCGGUAAUACGGGGGGGGCAAGCGUUGUUCGGAAUUACUGGGCGUAAAGGGCUCGUAGGCGGCCAAUUAAGUCACACGUGAAAUCCCACGGCUCAACCGUGGAACUGCGUGUGAGACUGGAUGGCUUGAGUUUGGGAGAGGAAUGCGGAAUUCCAGGUGUAGCGGUGAAAUGCGUAGAUAUCUGGAGGAACACCGGUGGCGAAGGCGGCAUUCUGGACCAACACUGACGCUGAGGAGCGAAAGCCAGGGGAGCAAACG
rnacentral:rRNA from 1 species